GCUGGGUGUGGUUGCGCAUACCUGUACUCCCAGCUACUCUGGAGGCUGAGGUGGGAGGAUCACUUGAGCCUAGGAGGUCAAGGCUGCAGUGAACCAAGAUCAUGCUACUGCACUCCAGCCUAGGCAAUAGAGUGAGACCCUGCCUAAA
rnacentral:SRP_RNA from 1 species